AAGCGCGCGUAGGCGGUUUGAUAAGCUAGCUGUGAAAGCCCUGGGCUCAACCUGGGAACUGCAGUUAGAACUGUCUGACUAGAGUACAGUAGAGGGUGGCGGAAUUUCCUGUGUAGCGGUGAAAUGCGUAGAUAUAGGAAGGAACAUCAGUGGCGAAGGCGGCCACCUGGACUGAUACUGACGCUGAGGUGCGAAAGCGUGGGGAGCAAACAGGAUUAGAUACCCCCUGU
rnacentral:rRNA from 1 species